rnacentral:pre_miRNA from 13 species
AAGUCAUGGACUGUGACCUUCUUUUAGUUCUUCCCAGAGUCUGAAAAAGCUUGGAUGAGAGAGCAAAAAAGAAAAUAAA